CGCGUAGGCGGUUUGAUAAGUCAGAUGUGAAAGCCCACGGCUUAACCGUGGAAGUGCAUUUGAUACUGUCGGACUUGAGUACCAGAGGGGAAAGUGGAAUUCCCGGUGUAGAGGUGAAAUUCGUAGAUAUCGGGAGGAAUACCGGUGGCGAAGGCGACUUUCUGGCUGAGUACUGACGCUGAGGCGCGAAAGCGUGGGGAGCAAACA
rnacentral:rRNA from 1 species